rnacentral:rRNA from 1 species
UGAACGCUGGCGGCGUGCCUAAUACAUGCACGUCGAGCGAGCAGAUGAGGAGCUUGCUCCUCUGACGUUAGCGGCGGACGGGUGAGUAACACGUGGAUAACCUACCUAUAAGACUGGGAUAACUUCGGGAAACCGGAGCUAAUACCGGAUAAUAUAUUGAACCGCAUGGUUCAAUAGUGAAAGACGGUUUUGCUGUCACUUAUAGAUGGAUCCGCGCCGCAUUAGCUAGUUGGUAAGGUAACGGCUUACCAAGGCAACGAUGCGUAGCCGACCUGAGAGGGUGAUCGGCCACACUGGAACUGAGACACGGUCCAGACUCCUACGGGAGGCAGCAGUAGGGAAUCUUCCGCAAUGGGCGAAAGCCUGACGGAGCAACGCCGCGUGAGUGAUGAAGGUCUUCGGAUCGUAAAACUCUGUUAUUAGGGAAGAACAAAUGUGUAAGUAACUAUGCACGUCUUGACGGUACCUAAUCAGAAAGCCACGGCUAACUACGUG